rnacentral:rRNA from 1 species
GACGAACCGUGCGAACGUUGUUCGGAAUCACUGGGCUUAAAGGGCGCGUAGGCGGGCGUGACAGUCAGGGGUGAAAGCCCACGGCUCAACCGUGGAAGUGCCUUUGAUACUUCAUGCCUUGAGGGACCUAGAGGUGAGCGGAACUGAUGGUGGAGCGGUGAAAUGCGUUGAUAUCAUCAGGAACACCGGAGGCGAAGGCGGCUCACUGGGGGUCUUCUGACGCUGAGGAACGAAAGCCAGGGGAGCGAACGGG